UACGCAGGGAGCUAGCGUUGUUCGGAAUCACUGGGCGUAAAGCGCACGUAGGCGGCUGUGUCAGUCAGGGGUGAAAUCCCGGAGCUCAACUUCGGAACUGCCUUUGAUACAGCACGUCUUGAGUCCGGAAGAGGAGAGUGGAAUUCCCGGUGUAGCGGUGAAAUGCGCAGAUAUCGGGAAGAACACCCGUGGCGAAGGCGGCUCUCUGGGACGGUACUGACGCUGAGACGCGAAAGCGUGGGGAGCGAACAGG
rnacentral:rRNA from 1 species